AGCAGCCGCGGUAAUUCCAGCUCCAAUAGCGUAUAUUAAAGUUGUUGCAGUUAAAAAGCUCGUAGUUGAAUUUCGGGGUCAGCAGGUUGGUCGUGCCACUGGUAUGCACUGGCCUCGCUGAUUCCUCCCUCUUGUAGAACCGUAAUGCCAUUAAGUUGGUGUUGCGGGGAAACAGGACUGUUACUUUGAAAAAAUUAGAGUGUUUAAAGCAGGCUAACGCUUGAAUACAUUAGCAUGGAAUAAUGAAAUAGGACGAUCGAUCCUAUUUUGUUGGUUUCUAGGGUUGACGUAAUGAUUAAUAGGGAUAGUUGGGGGCAUUAGUAUUCAAUUGUCAGAGGUGAAAUUCUUGGAUUUAUUGAAGACUAACUACUGCGAAAGCAUUUGCCAAGGAUGUUUUCAUUAAUCAAGAACGAAAGUUAGGGGAUCGAAGACGAUCAGAUACCGUCGUAGUCUUAACCAUAAACUAUAGCCGACUAGGGAUCGGAUGAUGUUAAUUUUUAAUGACUCAUUCGGCGCCUUA
rnacentral:rRNA from 1 species